UUAAUUGAAACCAAAAAGAGGUCUAUCACUGUUAAUGAUAAAAAUGAAUAAUUCUAAAAUUCCAAUUAAA
rnacentral:tRNA from 1 species